GGGACACGUGGUAUCCUGUCUGAAUAUGGGGGGACCAUCCUCCAAGGCUAAAUACUCCUGACUGACCGAUAGUGAACCAGUACCGUGAGGGAAAGGCGAAAAGAACCCCGGCGAGGGGAGUGAAAAAGAACCUGAAACCGUGUACGUACAAGCAGUGGGAGCACGCUUAGGCGUGUGACUGCGUACCUUUUGUAUAAUGGGUCAGCGACUUAUAUUCUGUAGCAAGGUUAACCGAAUAGGGGAGCCGAAGGGAAACCGAGUCUUAACUGGGCGUUAAGUUGCAGGGUAUAGACCCGAAACCCGGUGAUCUAGCCAUGGGCAGGUUGAAGGUUGGGUAACACUAACUGGAGGACCGAACCGACUAAUGUUGAAAAAUUAGCGGAUGACUUGUGGCUGGGGGUGAAAGGCCAAUCAAACCGGGAGAUAGCUGGUUCUCCCCGAAAGCUAUUUAGGUAGCGCCUCGUGAAUUCAUCUCCGGGGGUAGAGCACUGUUUCGGCAAGGGGGUCAUCCCGACUUACCAACCCGAUGCAAACUGCGAAUACCGGAGAAUGUUAUCACGGGAGACACACGGCGGGUGCUAACGUCCGUCGUGAAGAGGGAAACAACCCAGACCGCCAGCUAAGGUCCCAAAGUCAUGGUUAAGUGGGAAACGAUGUGGGAAGGCCCAGACAGCCAGGAUGUUGGCUUAGAAGCAGCCAUCAUUUAAAGAAAGCGUAAUAGCUCACUGGUCGAGUCGGCCUGCGCGGAAGAUGUAACGGGGCUAAACCAUGCACCGAAGCUGCGGCAGCGACACUAUGUGUUGUUGGGUAGGGGAGCGUUCUGUAAGCCUGUGAAGGUGUGCUGUGAGGCAUGCUGGAGGUAUCAGAAGUGCGAAUGCUGACAUAAGUAACGAUAAAGCGGGUGAAAAGCCCGCUCGCCGGAAGACCAAGGGUUCCUGUCCAACGUUAAUCGGGGCAGGGUGAGUCGACCCCUAAGGCGAGGCCGAAAGGCGUAGUCGAUGGGAAACAGGUUAAUAUUCCUGUACUUGGUGUUACUGCGAAGGGGGGACGGAGAAGGCUAUGUUGGCCGGGCGACGGUUGUCCCGGUUUAAGCGUGUAGGCUGGUUUUCCAGGCAAAUCCGGAAAAUCAAGGCUGAGGCGUGAUGACGAGGCACUACGGUGCUGAAGCAACAAAUGCCCUGCUUCCAGGAAAAGCCUCUAAGCAUCAGGUAACAUCAAAUCGUACCCCAAACCGACACAGGUGGUCAGGUAGAGAAUACCAAGGCGCUUGAGAGAACUCGGGUGAAGGAACUAGGCAAAAUGGUGCCGUAACUUCGGGAGAAGGCACGCUGAUAUGUAGGUGAAGUCCCUCGCGGAUGGAGCUGAAAUCAGUCGAAGAUACCAGCUGGCUGCAACUGUUUAUUAAAAACACAGCACUGUGCAAACACGAAAGUGGACGUAUAC
rnacentral:rRNA from 1 species